UAGGGAAUCUUCGGCAAUGGGGGCAACCCUGACCGAGCAACGCCGCGUGAGUGAAGAAGGUUUUCGGAUCGUAAAGCUCUGUUGUAAGAGAAGAACGUGUGUGAGAGUGGAAAGUUCACACAGUGACGGUAACUUACCAGAAAGGGACGGCUAACUACGUGCCAGCAGCCGCGGUAAUACGUAGGUCCCGAGCGUUGUCCGGAUUUAUUGGGCGUAAAGCGAGCGCACGCGGUUUAAUAAGUCUGAAGUUAAAGGCAGUGGCUUAACCAUUGUUCGCUUUGGAAACUGUUAAACUUGAGUGCAGAAGGGGAGAGUGGAAUUCCAUGUGUAGCGGUGAAAUGCGUAGAUAUAUGGAGGAACACCGGUGGCGAAAGCGGCUCUCUGGUCUGUAACUGACGCUGAGGCUCGAAAGCGUGGGGAGCAAACAGG
rnacentral:rRNA from 1 species